rnacentral:rRNA from 1 species
AUGACGGUACCGGAAGAAUAAGCACCGGCUAACUACGUGCCAGCAGCCGCGGUAAUACGUAGGGUGCGAGCGUUAAUCGGAAUUACUGGGCGUAAAGCGUGCGCAGGCGGUUUGAUAAGACAGGCGUGAAAUCCCCGAGCUCAACUUGGGAAUGGCGCUUGUGACUGUCAGGCUAGAGUAUGUCAGAGGGGGGUAGAAUUCCACGUGUAGCAGUGAAAUGCGUAGAGAUGUGGAGGAAUACCGAUGGCGAAGGCAGCCCCCUGGGACGUCACUGACGCUCAUGCACGAAAGCGUGGGGAGCAAACAGGAUUAGAUACCCUGGUAGUCCACGCCCUAAACGAUGUCAAC